rnacentral:rRNA from 1 species
UGGGGAAUAUUGGACAAUGGGCGAAAGCCUGAUCCAGCCAUGCCGCGUGUGUGAAGAAGGUCUUCGGAUUGUAAAGCACUUUAAGUUGGGAGGAAGGGCAGUAAGUUAAUACCUUGCUGUUUUGACGUUACCGACAGAAUAAGCACCGGCUAACUCUGUGCCAGCAGCCGCGGUAAUACAGAGGGUGCAAGCGUUAAUCGGAAUUACUGGGCGUAAAGCGCGCGUAGGUGGUUUGUUAAGUUGGAUGUGAAAUCCCCGGGCUCAACCUGGGAACUGCAUUCAAAACUGACAAGCUAGAGUAUGGUAGAGGGUGGUGGAAUUUCCUGUGUAGCGGUGAAAUGCGUAGAUAUAGGAAGGAACACCAGUGGCGAAGGCGACCACCUGGACUGAUACUGACACUGAGGUGCGAAAGCGUGGGGAGCAAACAGGAUUAGAUACCCCCGUAGUCCCUGAGCGGGCUGGCAAGGCGCAU